GACAACAGCUCAGCGGUUAUAUACUCGCUUCAGAAGCGAUAGGUCGGUGGUUCGAUACCACCAGGGCGUCG